rnacentral:rRNA from 1 species
AGUGGAUGGGGAGCAACCUAGUUGUGCGUGUGUAAAGGUAGUGCCAAGAAAAGCGGUGAUCAUGAUGAAAAUCAAUUCCCGGUACCCGAAACCGACACAGGUGGGCAAGUAGAGAAUACUAAGGGGCGCGAGGUAACUCUCUCCAAGGAACUCGGCAAAAUGACCCCGUAACUUAGGGAGAAGGGGUGCCACCGAGAGGUGGUCGCAGUGAAGAGGCCCAGGCGACUGUUUAGCAAAAACAUAGGUCUCUGCAAACUCGAAAGAGGAGGUAUAGGGGCUGACGCCUGCCCAGUGCCGGAAGGUUAAAGAAGUUGGUCAGUCUUAGGAUAAAGCUAGCGACUGAAGCCCCGGUGAACGGCGGCCGUAACUAAACGGUCCUAAGGUAGCGAAAUUCCUUGUCGGGUAAGUUCCGACCCGCACGAAAGGCGUAACGAUCUGGGCGCUGUCUCGGAGAGAGGCUCGGCGAAAUAGGAUUGUCUGUGAAGAUACGGACUACCUGCAUUUGGACAGAAAGACCCUAUGAAGCUUUACUAUAGCUUGGAAUUGUGUUCGGGCUUCCUGUGCGCAGGAUAGGUGGGAGGCGAAGAAGGUAUUCUUGUGGGGAUACUGGAGCCAACGGUGAGAUACCACUCUCAGGAGGCUAGAAUUCUAACUUAAUUAAGGACAGUUUCAGGUGGGUAGUUUGACUGGGGCGGUCGCCUCCAAAAAGGUAACGGAGGCGUACAAAGGUUCCCUCAGACUGGUUGGAAAUCAGUCGCAGAGUGCAAAGGCAGAAGGGAGCUUGACUGCGAGAAGUACAGUUCGAGCAGGGUGGAAACACGGUCUUAGUGAUCCGACGGUGCUGUGUGGAAGGGCCGUCGCUCAACGGAUAAAAGUUACUCUAGGAUAACAGGCUGAUCUCCCCCAAGAGUUCACAUCGACGGGGAGGUUUGGCACCUCGAUGUCGGCUCAUCGCAACCUGGGGCGGAAGUACGUCCCAAGGGUUGGGCUGUUCGCCCAUUAAAGCGGUACGUGAGCUGGGUUCAGAGCGUCGUGAGACAGUUCGGUCCAUAUCCGAUGUAGGCGUGAGAAUAUUGAGAGGAGCCUUCCUUAGUACGAGAGGACCGGGAAGGACGCACCGCUGGUGUACCUGUUAUGAUGCCAAUUGUAAACGCAGGGUAGCCAAGUGCGGAGAGGAUAACCGCUGAAAGCAUCUAAGUGGGAAGCCCACCUCAAGAUGAGUAUUCUGGUGUAAGGUCACGGGAAGACGACCCGUAAAUAGGCACGAGGUGGAAGUGCAGAGAUGUAUGAAGCCGAAGUGUACUAAUAGACCGUCGGCUUGACCG